rnacentral:rRNA from 1 species
UAGGGAAUAUUGCCUAAUGGGCGAAAGCCUGAGGCAGCAACGCCGCGUGUGCGAUGAAGGCCUUCGGGUCGUAAAGCACUUUUGGAGGGGAUGAGGAAGGACAGUACCCUUCGAAUAAGCCUCGGCUAACUACGUGCCAGCAGCCGCGGUAACACGUAGGAGGCGAGCGUUAUCCGGAUUUACUGGGUGUAAAGCGCGUGCAGGCGGUUCGGUAAGUUGGAUGUGAAAGCUCCUGGCUUAACUGGGAGAGGUCGUUCAAUACUACCGGACUUGAGUAUGGGAGAGGGAGGUGGAAUUCCGGGUGUAGUGGUGAAAUGCGUAGAUAUCCGGAGGAACACCAGUGGCGAAAGCGGCCUCCUGGCCCAUUUCUGACGCUCAGACGCGAAAGCUAGGGGAGCGAACGGG